ensembl:lncRNA
GUUAUAUACAGGGGGUACCGGUACAGAGUCAAUGUGGAGACUAUAUACAGGGGGUACCGUACAGAGUCAAUGUGGAGGCUAUAUACAGGGGUACUGGUACAGAGUCAAUAGUGAGGCUAUAUACAGGGGGUACCGGUACAGAGUCAAUGUGGAGGCUAUAUACAGGGGGUACCGGUACAGAGUCAAUGUGGAGGCAAUAUACAGGGUGUUACGGUACAGAGUCAAUGUGGAGGCUAUAUACAGGGGGUACCGGUACAGAGUCAAUGUGGAGGCUAUAUACAGGGGGUACCGGUACAGAGUCAAUGUGGAGGCUAUAUACAGGGGGUACCGGUACAGAGUCAAUGUGGAGGCUAUAUACAGGGUGUUACGGUACAGAGUCAAUGUGGAGGCUAUAUACAGGGUGUACCGGUACAGAGUCAAUGUGGAGGCUAUAUACAGGGGGUACUGGUACAGAGUCAAUGUGGAGGCUAUAUACAGGGGGUACUGGUACAGAGUCAAUGUGGAGGCAAUAUACAGGGGGUUACUGGUACAGAGUCAAUGUGGAGGCAAUAUACAGGGUGUUACGGUACAGAGUCAAUGUGGAGGCUAUAUACAGGGGGUACCGGUACAGAGUCAAUGUGGAGGUUAUAUACAGGGUGUUACGGUACAGAGUCAAUGUGGAGGUUAUAUACAGGGUGUUACGGUACAGAGUCAAUGUGGAGGCUAUAUACAGGGUGUUACGGUACAGAGUCAAUGUGGAGACUAUAUACAGGGUGUACUGGUACAGAGUCAAUGUGGAGGCUAUAUACAGGGGGUACUGGGGGCACCGGUUAGUCGAGG